rnacentral:rRNA from 1 species
GAUCAUGGCUCAGGAUGAACGCUAGCUACAGGCUUAACACAUGCAAGUCGAGGGGCAGCAUGUUGGUUGCUUGCAACCAACGAUGGCGACCGGCGCACGGGUGAGUAACGCGUAUCCAACCUACCCUUGUCCAUCGGAUAACCCGUCGAAAGGCGGACCUAACACGAUAUGCGGUUCNCAGCAGCAUCUAACGAGAACGAAAUAAGUAAAGGAGAAGGGAGUGGGGAUGCGUCUGUAUUACGG